UAUAACACAAAACAUAUACUAGCAAACAAUAAACAUUACUUAAAAAAAUAAUCAAAUCUCACGAAAUAAACUUGUAAAAGAAUGACUCAAAAAUUGUGUAUGAUGAUUAUGAUGGCAUUGAUAAUGGUAGGAUGUCAUCUAAAAGCAUGCAAUGGAAUGGAGAACUUGUCAAAGGAAGACCCUCACUCACCGAUUGAAAUAACAAUUCAGCAACGUCAAAUAGUUCCAGACCCAGUAUGCAUAUGGCACUGUCAAAUCAAAUGUGGCGAUAACAUAGAUUGUGCACAAAAGUGUCGUAGGAAUUGUUGAACCCCAGUUCCUCAACACUAACGUACUAUUUCGAUGUAUCAAGGAGUAUCUCUUUUCAAUUAAAAAAAAAAAAAUUAAUAAUACCCGGGAGCUGAAAUAUUUUAUAA